UAGAUGCGAGAGUAGAGCAUAUCAAUAAGCGGAGGAAAAGAAACUAACUAGGAUUCCCUCAGUAACGGCGAGUGAAGCGGGAAGAGCUCAAAUUUGAAAUCUUCAAGGUUCUACCUUGACGAAUUGUAGUUUAAAGAAGUGUUUUCUGUUGGAGUUUUGGUAAAAGUUCUUUGGAAUAGGACAUCAUAGAGGGUGAGAAUCCCGUAUUUGACCAUUAUUUCCAACUUUGUGAUACACUUCCAAAGAGUCGGAUUGUUUGGGAAUGCAGUCCAAAAUGGGUGGUAAAUUUCAUCUAAAGCUAAAUAUUGGCGAGAGACCGAUAGCGAACAAGUACCGUGAGGGAAAGAUGAAAAGAACUUUGAAAAGAGAGUUAAACAGUACGUGAAAUUGUCAAAAGGGAAGCGUUUGACACCAGUGUUGUUUUCUCGAAAAUCAAUUAAAAAUGAUUGGAUUUUGUGUUGUAUUGACUUCAUCAGCUUUCUGCACUUUUUUCUUAGUCUUUUUUAAUGCACUUUUCGUUUAACAAGUCAACAUCAAUUUCUUUUGUUGUAAAAGGGUCAUUGGAAGGUGGCUUUCUUUUCGGAGAAAGUGUUUAUAGCCUUUGAUCUCUGCAACCGGAGAGACUGAGGUCUGCAGCGUAGACUCUUCGGGGUUAGAUACAUUUGUGCUAAGCUAUAGCUUUUUAUAGACAACUUGUUGACUAUAUUUAGUCUUGUAGCUUACUCGCUUAUGCUAUUUUACCUACGCUUAGGAUGUUGACACACGCGCGUGCUCG
rnacentral:rRNA from 1 species